rnacentral:rRNA from 1 species
UACGGAGGAGGCAAGCGUUAUCCGGAAUUAUUGGGCGUAAAGCGUCCUAAGGUGGUUGGCCAAGUCUGCUGUCAAAGGGUGGGGCUUAACCUCAUAAAGGCAGUGGAAACUGGCGAGCUAGAGUGCGGUAGGGGUAGGGGGAAUUCCCAGUGUAGCGGUGAAAUGCGUAGAGAUUGGGAAGAACAUCGGUGGCGAAAGCGCCCUGCUGGGCCUGCAAUGACAAUGAGGGACGAAAGCUAGGGGAGCGAAAGGG